AUUGAACGCUGGCGGCAGGCCUAACACAUGCAAGUCGAGCGAGAAAGGUCUUCGGGCUGAGUACAGCGGCGGACGGGUGAGUAACGCGUAGGAAUCUACCUGGUAGUGGGGGACAACAUGGUGAAAACCAUGCUAAUACCGCAUACGCCCUAUGGGGGAAAGCGGGGGACCUUCGGGCCUCGCGCUAUCAGAUGAGCCUGCGUAGGAUUAGCUUGUUGGUGAGGUAAAGGCUCACCAAGGCGACGAUCCUUAGCUGGUCUGAGAGGAUGAUCAGCCACACUGGAACUGAGACACGGUCCAGACUCCUACGGGAGGCAGCAGUGGGGGAAUAUUGCGCAAUGGGCGAAAGCCUGACGCAGCCAUGCCGCGUGUGUGAAGAAGGCCCUUGGGUUGUAAAGCACUUUCAAUUGGGAAGAAAGGUUAGCGUGUUAAUAGCACGUAGCUGUGACGUUACCUUUAGAAGAAGCACCGGCUAACUCCGUGCCAG
rnacentral:rRNA from 1 species